CCUACGGGUGGCAGCAGUGGGGAAUAUUGGACAAUGGGCGAAAGCCUGAUCCAGCCAUGCCGCGUGUAUGAAGAAGGCCUUCGGGUUGUAAAGCACUUUCAGUGGGGAAGAAAGCCUUGGGGCUAAUACCCUCGAGGAAGGACAUCACCCACAGAAGAAGCACCGGCUAACUCCGUGCCAGCAGCCGCGGUAAUACGGAGGGUGCGAGCGUUAAUCGGAAUUACUGGGCGUAAAGCGCGCGUAGGCGGUCUGAUAAGCCGGUUGUGAAAGCCCCGGGCUCAACCUGGGAACGGCAUCCGGAACUGUCAGGCUAGAGUGCAGGAGAGGAAGGUAGAAUUCCCGGUGUAGCGGUGAAAUGCGUAGAGAUCGGGAGGAAUACCAGUGGCGAAGGCGGCCUUCUGGACUGACACUGACGCUGAGGUGCGAAAGCGUGGGUAGCAAACAGGAUUAGAUACCCGAGUAGUC
rnacentral:rRNA from 1 species